CUUUUCUAUUUGACUCAUGAUUUAUUUUGAUAAAAGGUUUAAUACUGCUACAUGUUAUCAAAAUUUCUCUCUCUAUGAGUCCAGUUGUAUCACACCCUGGGCUUAUCAGUUCAAUCAAAGGUCAGGCAGAAAGCUUCCUGGAGAGUUUUAUCUAAGCCAAUCAGCAUCAGGUUAACAUUCAUCUGAGUAGGAAAUUCAAAUGCAUGGAGAAGAAUCAUGUAAACAUGGCGGUUUCUGAAGCUCAUAUUUUGUGUGGAUAAACCUUCUUCCUAAUCAUUUAAAAGAUGGCCAAUGUUGUGUCUGUGGCUAAGAUGAGAAUCCUGUGACCAAACAAGAUACAAUGGGGAAAGUUGGAACCAGACGUAGAACAUAAUGGCCGCGUCCAUGCUCAACCACAUGAUGACUGUUACAAAAGAAAUGCUGAAUGACUUCUAGACAGAAAACAAGGACCAAGCUGAAAAUCAUAUGAGAGUCAGUCUCACGUAAGGGUGACAAAUGCUGUCCUUGCAAUAAGCGGUGCUGCAUGGAUCAGAUUUUAAUGGCAAUUUUGACAAAAAAUAGUACUAAUACAAGGUCUUGUAUAUGAUUAUUAUUUUUCAUGUACUUCAAUAUGUUAUUCACAAUAUUUCAGUCUAAAAUUUUGGACUAACUUUUGCAAGGUAGCCAAAAAGCUGGUGUCCUUUGCAAGAAUAUCAAUUUUGUAUGUCAUAUAUAAUCAAUAUCGUGCAUCCCAUGUAUUGAAAAAAUGUAUCUAAUGCAAUGCUCUGGAUGUGUUUAUUUUAUGUUGAAAAUAAAUUUUAUCCAAUCCA